rnacentral:rRNA from 1 species
AGAGUUUGAUCCUGGCUCAGGAUGAACGCUAGCGACAGGCUUAACACAUGCAAGUCGAGGGGCAUCAUGAGGUAGCAAUACCUUGAUGGCGACCGGCGCACGGGUGAGUAACGCGUAUGCAACCUGCCCGAUACCGGGGUAUAGCCCAUGGAAACGUGGAUUAACACCCCAUAGUACUUUUAUCCUGCAUGGGAUAGGAGUUAAAUGUUCAAGGUAUCGGAUGGGCAUGCGUCCUAUUAGUUAGUUGGCGGGGUAACAGCCCACCAAGACGAUGAUAGGUAGGGGUUCUGAGAGGAAGGUCCCCCACAUUGGAACUGAGACACGGUCCAAACUCCUACGGGAGGCAGCAGUGAGGAAUAUUGGUCAAUGGACGAGAGUCUGAACCAGCCAAGUCGCGUGAGGGAAGACUGCCCUAUGGGUUGUAAACCUCUUUUAUAAGGGAAGAAUAAGUUCUACGUGUAGAAUGAUGCCUGUACCUUAUGAAUAAGCAUCGGCUAACUCCGUGCCAGCAGCCGCGGUAAUACGGAGGAUGCGAGCGUUAUCCGGAUUUAUUGGGUUUAAAGGGUGCGUAGGCGGUUUAUUAAGUUAGUGGUUAAAUAUUUGAGCUAAACUCAAUUGUGCCAUUAAUACUGGUAAACUGGAGUACAGACGAGGUAGGCGGAAUAAGUUAAGUAGCGGUGAAAUGCAUAGAUAUAACUUAGAACUCCGAUAGCGAAGGCAGCUUACCAGACUGUAACUGACGCUGAUGCACGAGAGCGUGGGUAGCGAACAGGAUUAGAUACCCUGGUAGUCCACGCCGUAAACGAUGCUCACUGGUUCUGUGCGAUAUAUUGUACGGGAUUAAGCGAAAGUAUUAAGUGAGCCACCUGGGGAGUACGUCGGCAACGAUGAAACUCAAAGGAAUUGACGGGGGCCCGCACAAGCGGAGGAACAUGUGGUUUAAUUCGAUGAUACGCGAGGAACCUUACCCGGGCUUGAAUUGCAACUGAAUGAUGUGGAGACAUGUCAGCCGCAAGGCAGUUGUGAAGGUGCUGCAUGGUUGUCGUCAGCUCGUGCCGUGAGGUGUCGGCUUAAGUGCCAUAACGAGCGCAACCCUUAUCUUCAGUUACUAACAGGUUAUGCUGAGGACUCUGGAGAGACUGCCGUCGUAAGAUGUGAGGAAGGUGGGGAUGACGUCAAAUCAGCACGGCCCUUACGUCCGGGGCUACACACGUGUUACAAUGGUAGGUACAGAGGGUCGCUACUCCGUGAGGAGAUGCCAAUCUCGAAAGCCUAUCUCAGUUCGGAUUGGAGGCUGAAACCCGCCUCCAUGAAGUUGGAUUCGCUAGUAAUCGCGCAUCAGCCAUGGCGCGGUGAAUACGUUCCCGGGCCUUGUACACACCGCCCGUCAAGCCAUGGGAGCCGGGGGUACCUGAAGUGCGUAACCGCGAGGAGCGCCCUAGGGUAAAACUGGUGACUGGGGCUAAGUCGUAACAAGGUAGCCGUACCGGAAGGUGCGGCUG